rnacentral:rRNA from 1 species
GUGCCAGCCGCCGCGGUAAUUCCAGCUCCAAUAGCGUAUAUUAAAGUUGUUGUGGUUAAAAAGCUCGUAGUUGAACCUUGGGCCUGGCUGGCCGGUCCGCCUCACCGCGUGCACUGGUCCGGCCGGGCCUUUCCCUCUGUGGAACCCCAUACCCUUCACUGGGCGUGGCGGGGAAACAGGACAUUUACUUUGAAAAAAUUAGAGUGCUCCAGGCAGGCCUAUGCUCGAAUACAUUAGCAUGGAAUAAUAAAAUAGGACGCGCGGUUCUAUUUUGUUGGUUUAUAGGACCGCCGUAAUGAUUAAUAGGGACAGUCGGGGGCAUCAGUAUUCAACUGUCAGAGGUGAAAUUCUUGGAUCAGUUGAAGACUAACUACUGCGAAAGCAUUUGCCAAGGAUGUUUUCAUUAAUCAGGAACGAAAGUUAGGGGAUCGAAGACGAUCAGAUACCGUCGUAGUCUUAACCAUAAACUAUGCCGACUAGGGAUCGGACGGUGUUAUUCAUGACCCGUUCGGCACCUUACGAGAAAUCAAAGUGCUUGGGCUCCAGGGGGAGUAUGGUCGCAAGGCUGAAACUUAAAGAAAUUGACGGAAGGGCACCACCAGGGGUGGAGCCUGCGGCUUAAUUUGACUCAACACGGGGAAACUCACCAGGUCCAGACACAAUAAGGAUUGACAGAUUGAGAGCUCUUUCUUGAUUUUGUGGGUGGUGAUGCAUGGCCGUUCUUAGUUGGUGGGGUGACUUGUCUGCUUGAUUGCGAUAACGAACGAGACCUUUACCUGCUAAAUAGCCCGCAUUGCUCCGGCCAGUGCGCUGGCUUCUUAAAGGGAACUUUCGGC